rnacentral:misc_RNA from 1 species
UUUCCGUAGGUGAACCUGCGGAAGGAUCAUUAUUGUAUAACCGAGGUGCGAGGGCUGUCGCUGACCCGAAAGGUCGUGCACGCCCGAGUGCCCUCACACACAUCCAUCUCACCCCUAUGUGCACCACCGCGUGGGUCCCCCUUUGGCUUGUUCGGAGGGGGGCUUACGUUUUCACACAAACUUUGUAUGUAGUGUAGAAUGUAUUUUUUGUUUUUGCGAUCACACUAUCAAUACAACUUUCAACAACGGAUCUCUUGGCUCUC